rnacentral:rRNA from 1 species
CAGUAGCCGCGGUAAUACGUAGGUCCCGAGCGUUGUCCGGAUUUAUUGGGCGUAAAGCGAGCGCAGGCGGUUAGAUAAGUCUGAAGUUAAAGGCUGUGGCUUAACCAUAGUACGCUUUGGAAACUGUUUAACUUGAGUGCAAGAGGGGAGAGUGGAAUUCCAUGUGAAGCGGUGAAAUGCGUAGAUAUAUGGAGGAACACCGGUGGCGAAAGCGGCUCUCUGGCUUGUAACUGACGCUGAGGCUCGAAAGCGUGGGGAGCAAACAGGAUUAGAUACCCCAGUAGUCCCUGUCUCUUAUACA